UAGCAAUUGUGAAGGUGUCUCUUGGGCAUA
rnacentral:piRNA from 1 species